UACGUAGGUGGCAAGCGUUGUCCGGAUUUAUUGGGCGUAAAGCGCGCGCAGGCGGUUUCUUAAGUCUGAUGUGAAAGCCCACGGCUUAACCGUGGAGGGUCAUUGGAAACUGGGAGACUUGAGUGCAGAAGAGGAAAGUGGAAUUCCAAGUGUAGCGGUGAAAUGCGUAGAGAUUUGGAGGAACACCAGUGGCGAAGGCGACUUCUGGUCUGCAACUGACGCUGAGGCGCGAAAGCAUGGGGAGCAAACAGG
rnacentral:rRNA from 1 species